rnacentral:rRNA from 1 species
ACUCAAAUGAAUUGACGGGGGCCCGCACAAGCGGUGGAGCAUGUGGUUCAAUUCGACGCAACGCGAAGAACCUUACCUAGGCUCGAACGGCUUCUCAACGCCGGCAGAAAUGCCGGUACCCCGCAAGGGGGUGGAGUCGAGGUGCUGCAUGGCUGUCGUCAGCUCGUGUCGUGAGAUGUUGGGUUAAGUCCCGCAACGAGCGCAACCCUUGUCCUGUGUUGCCAUGUCGAAAGACGGAACUCGCAGGAGACCGCCAGGGAUAACCUGGAGGAAGGUGGGGAUGACGUCAAGUCCUCAUGGCCUUUAUGUCUAGGGCUACACACGUGCUACAAUGGACGGUACAAAGCGUCGCUAACCUGCGAAGGGGAGCCAAUCGCAAAAAACCGUUCUCAGUUCGGAUUGCAGGCUGCAACUCGCCUGCAUGAAGCUGGAAUCGCUAGUAAUGGCAGAUCAGCACGCUGCCGUGAAUACGUUCCCGGGCCUUGUACACACCGCCCGU